rnacentral:rRNA from 1 species
UGGGGAAUCUUGCGCAAUGCGCGAAAGCGUGACGCAGCAACGCCGCGUGCGGGAAGACGGCCUUCGGGUUGUAAACCGCUUUCAGUUGGGACGAAGCCUUUGCGGUUAAUAGCCGUGGAAGGUGACGGUACCUUCAGAAGAAGCCACGGCUAACUACGUGCCAGCAGCCGCGGUAAUACGUAGGGCGCAAGCGUUGUCCGGAAUUAUUGGGCGUAAAGAGCUCGUAGGCGGUCUGUCGCGUCGGAUGUGAAAGCCCGGGGCUUAACCCCGGGUCUGCAUUCGAUACGGGCAGACUAGAGUGUGGUAGGGGAGAUCGGAAUUCCUGGUGUAGCGGUGAAAUGCGCAGAUAUCAGGAGGAACACCGGUGGCGAAGGCGGAUCUCUGGGCCAUUACUGACGCUGAGGAGCGAAAGCGUGGGGAGCGAACAGGAUUAGAUACC